AACUCUGUGGAUUACUUGGCUCGUGUGUCUUUGAAGAACGCAGCUAGCUGUGAGAACUAAUGGGAAUUGCAGGACACAUUGAUCAUUGAUCACUCCCACUGGGUGAGAUUAUGGAAAAUAAAACCUAAAAAGAGCCA
rnacentral:rRNA from 1 species